rnacentral:rRNA from 1 species
UUGAGGAGUGGCUUCCGGAGCUAACGCGUUAAGUCGACCGCCUGGGGAGUACGGCCGCAAGGUUAAAACUCAAAUGAAUUGACGGGGGCCCGCACAAGCGGUGGAGCAUGUGGUUUAAUUCGAUGCAACGCGAAGAACCUUACCUACUCUUGACAUCCAGCGAACUUUCCAGAGAUGGAUUGGUGCCUUCGGGAACGCUGAGACAGGUGCUGCAUGGCUGUCGUCAGCUCGUGUUGUGAAAUGUUGGGUUAAGUCCCGCAACGAGCGCAACCCUUAUCCUUUGUUGCCAGCGAUUCGGUCGGGAACUCAAAGGAGACUGCCGGUGAUAAACCGGAGGAAGGUGGGGAUGACGUCAAGUCAUCAUGGCCCUUACGAGUAGGGCUACACACGUGCUACAAUGGCGCAUACAAAGAGAAGCGACCUCGCGAGAGCAAGCGGACCUCACAAAGUGCGUCGUAGUCCGGAUCGGAGUCUGCAACUCGACUCCGUGAAGUCGGAAUCGCUAGUAAUCGUGGAUCAGAAUGCCACGGUGAAUACGUUCCCGGGCCUUGCACUCCCCGCCCGUCA